GCGGCCGUCGUCUAGCCUGGACAGAUUCCUCCCAGAAUAGGACGCUGGCCUCCCGAGCCAGCGACCCGGGUUCGAAUCCCGGCGGCCGCA
rnacentral:tRNA from 2 species